CCCCGGCGCCACAAGUGGUUAUCACGAUUAUUGGGCCUAAAGCGUUCGUAGCCGGUCUGGUAAAUCUCUUGUGAAAUUGUUCGGCUUAACCGGACAGCGUGCAGGAGACACUGCCAGACUCGAGACCGGGAGGGGUUAGAAGUAUUCCAUGGGGACUGGUAAAAUGGGAUAAUCCAUGGAAGACUAGCGAUGGCGAAGGCAUCUAACCAGAACGGAUCUGACGGUGAGGAACGAAAGCCAGGGGAGCGCACCGG
rnacentral:rRNA from 1 species